UACGAAGGGGCUAGCGUUGCUCGGAAUCACUGGGCGUAAAGCGCACGUAGGCGGCUUUCUAAGUCAGGGUGAAAUCCUGGAGCUCAACUCCAGAACUGCCUUUGAUACUGGAGAGCUUGAGUCCGGGAGAGGUGAGUGGAACUCCGAGUGUAGAGGUGAAAUUCGUAGAUAUUCGCAAGAACACCAGUGGCGAAGGCGGCUCACUGGCCCGAUACUGACGCUGAGGCACGAAGCGUGGGAGCAACAG
rnacentral:rRNA from 1 species